CUCAAAUGACGAUCAUACCAAUUGCCUGAUAUUCUAUGAAGGCGAAAAUACUGAUUUAAUGAGACUGAUGA